rnacentral:rRNA from 1 species
UACGUAGGGUGCAAGCGUUGUCCGGAAUUAUUGGGCGUAAAGAGCUCGUAGGCGGUCUGUCGCGUCGGCUGUGAAAACCCGGAGCUCAACUCCGGGCCUGCAGUCGAUACGGGCAGACUGGAGUUCGGUAGGGGAGAUUGGAAUUCCUGGUGUAGCGGUGGAAUGCGCAGAUAUCAGGAGGAACACCGGUGGCGAAGGCGGAUCUCUGGGCCAUAACUGACGCUGAGGAGCGAAAGCGUGGGGAGCGAACAGG